rfam:Homo sapiens chromosome 5, GRCh38 reference primary assembly.
GCUGGAAUUAUAGGCAUGAGCCACCGCACGGGCCUCAAGAUCCAAUUCUAAGAGAACAUAGAGUAGUCAAGCUUCCAAGACUCCAGACACAUCCAAAUGAGGUGCUGCAUGUGGCAGUCUGCCAUUUGU